UUGAGAGCCCUGGAAAUUGAAGUCCUCUGUUUAGCCACAAAGCAGGUACAGCAUGGGGGGCAGCUAUGCAAGCUUCUCAGGAUGGGACCCAUUAUAGCAAUGACAGAACACUUCAGUGCCCAUGUCCAUUCAGUCCUUGCUCUCA
ensembl:misc_RNA